AUUGAACGCUGGCGGCAGGCCUAACACAUGCAAGUCGAGCGAGAGGGGGACGGGUGAGAAAUGUCUGGGAGAAAGCCUGAGGGGGGGGGGUAAAAACUGGAAAAGGGAGCUCAUACCGCAUAACAUAAGGUGUGCCCAGAUGGGAUUAGCUAGAAGGUGGGGGAACGGCUCACCCAGGCGCCGAUCCCUAGCUGGUCUGAGAGGAGGACCAGCCACACUGGAACUGAGACACGGUCCAUACUCCUACGGGAGGCAGCAGUGGGGAAUAUUGCACAAUGGGCGCAAGCCUGAUGCAGCCAUGCCGCGUGUAUGAAGAAGGCCUUCGGGUUGUAAAGUACUUUCAGCGGGGAGGCGUUACCCGCAGAAGAAGCACCGGCUAACUCCGUGCCAGCCGCCGCGGUAAUAC
rnacentral:rRNA from 1 species